UUAUCGCUGCCUUUCAACACCCAGAAGUGUGGACCAAGUGCAGUCUUGGACUCUUUAAGGACUUGGAUAUCUCGCUGCUGAUUAUUGAUUGGUUCUGACGUUGUUCAUCCUCCUGGGCGGCGGCGAGAACAACGAGAAACUGGCAAUGGACUAAUUUCCACAGACAGCUCAAGUAUUGUUCCUUCCCUUCCCCACACCACGCCAGACAUGGCUGCCAGCCCAAUCUCGCCGCACACAGCCUCCGCAAGGCUUCAGCUGCACCGAACAGCCCCUGAAAGUCCCAGCUCCCGCCACGUGCCGUGAGAGAUGGUGCCAGCUUCAGCUGUAUUGCGUGACGCAGCUGGGAAGUGCAGCCAAGCUCCAUUGCCUUCCUGCUUUCUGCUUGCUGCCCACCUACCUCGUGGCAAAGGAAGCCAUAUUUUUGCAGGGAGUUUGUGGCAAACCGGAAGGCAGGUAGCUCAUUGAGGUGAUUCCUGGAGCAAGGUGCCACAUUGCCCGUUCCACGCAGGCAUGCAGACCUUCACCUCACUGAACUGCAGUUGCGGAAGUGGCUCUCCACUAUGGCCCGGAGAUGAUAAACGGCUUCGUUUCCUCGGUGGCGCGCUGCUCCGCACUGAGAGCCUUGCUCCCGGUGCUGCCCUUUGCAGUGCUGCCAGCCCCACAGCUGCGGAGGCUUUGCAGAGGGACGACCACUCCAGUGACAGGACAACCAUGUCAUCAGGGGUUUGGUCCUCACCAGCCCAGAGCCUUGCAACAAAGGACUGUUAGCAUAAAGUAAACACGUUUGCUGUGCUUAGGAUAAACUUUGACCUGUAAUUUCCUCUCUGAUCUGCAGGUAGGCUCUCCUGCAAGUAGGCUGCAUCUCACCUAAACAUUAAGCUACUAAAAGAUCAUGGCCUGCAGUACUGAGCUGGUUACUGAGGCUUCCUCCGUAACCAUGUGGAGGACGAUUCACCCCAUCAAAGUGGAUUACUUUUCUCAGAAAGUGCCUUACUUGCCACUGGCUAUAGAGGGAACCUAGACAGGCACUAAACUAAACAUCUAAUUUCCAGAUGGCUAAAAUGAGAUGAUAUGAAUCCUGCCUUUCAUGGGUUGUUGUACCAGCUGAAGCCUAAACUGUGUGCACAAAGGUUUUCCUUACAUUGUAGCCUAAGACAUUCAAUGCUACUUCUGUUUUCUAUUUUGAAGCUGUUGUAUGACUUUCCUUUUCCUGUCUCUCUCUUUCUGUUAGUGGAACUGGUAAAUAAUUUGCAGCAAAUCACAUACUUCAGUGAAAUAGAUGUUUUGGAAAAAUGAUCUGCUGGUACCUUCUGACUUUUCUCAAAAGCAUAUGACUUUUAAAGUUCAGUGACCACAUCAUUUGCAGGCAGUGGGGUGAAGAUAUUCAAUAUUUUAAAUUCAAACAGUGUUUGAUAGUCUGGUUUGGAUACUUUGACCACAGAGUAUUUUUCACGUUCUGUGACAAAGUGAAUAGAGGUUAUUUGCAGUAACUCAUUUUGCUCUGCUCAGCACUGGAUUAAAAGCAUGGCCACAGCCUGUUA